rnacentral:rRNA from 1 species
UACAGAGGGUGCGAGCGUUAAUCGGAAUUACUGGGCGUAAAGCGCGCGUAGGCGGCUUUGCAAGUCGGGUGUGAAAUCCCCAGGCUUAACCUGGGAACUGCAUUCGAGACUGCAUUGCUAGAGUAUGGGAGAGGGAAGUGGAAUUUCCGGUGUAGAGGUGAAAUUCGUAGAUAUUCGGAGGAACACCAGUGGCGAAGGCGGCUCACUGGCUCGAUACUGACGCUGAGGUGCGAAAGCGUGGGGAGCAAACAGG